UGUUUACAGUAAAGAAGGUACCAGAAAUUUAGGAGUUCAGAGCAAGCUGUCUCAACUUGCCUCUGUGCCGUAGGAAAGGCAAACAAGACAGACAGACCAUCACUCUUGAUUCCAGAAUGCCAACAAGACCCUCACUGAAGAACCUUCUUUUCUACAGCGGCAGAAAAAAGUUUCAGUCUUCCCAGGUGGAACAGCAAGCAGCCUUUCCCCACGAUUGUGCUACCAGGUCACUGGCUAGUGCCUGGAGUCCAUUGCUUACUCUUGUAGUCUUCUUAGCAAGCUGAGGAAACGGAAGCUCAGGUAUCAAGAAAUUCUAUCCUCUACAUGGAAUGCAAAGCAAAUGUCUCAAAGACCGAAAACUUUUGAGAGGAUUGUGGUAAGGAGAAAAGAGCAGGCCAACAUAACGGUUCCAUAAGUGAAGUGUCUGCCACCAAGUCUGGAGAACCGAGUUCCAUCUCUAGUCCAAGAUGUCCUCUGACUUCCACAUGUGUGCCCUACCACACUCUUGCUCUUCACCCCAAACACACCUACACACAUACAGUAAAUAAAAAUGCUUUAACAUGA